rnacentral:lncRNA from 1 species
UUUCAAGUUUCAUCUUUUAGCAUAUCUAUACAAUAUAUCCUACAGCCCCAUGAAACAUAUAUUUUAUAUUUUAAAGUGGCUCCAAAAGAUAAUCUGGUCCACUUGAUGAUAAUUUAGCUAAUCAAGGACUAAAAAAGGAUGUUCAUUUAGUUUUUCUUUGUAAAUCUUAGAUAUGGCAUAUGGCAGCAAUGCAAUCAUUAGAUGUUAUACUACAUCUUGGUGCUUUAUAAAAUAAUGGAUAGGAUUAAACAAUACUCACUGGUAGCUUCAUGUUCGACCUUGUGCCCACUAGGACGACAUUCUUAACGAGGUCCUGCCCUUUUUGCCCUGAUGAAAAAUGUGCAAUCUCAAGAUUCCAAUCAAGAAUAGAUGAUUUUGUUCAGAACAAGACUAAAGAUUUCUGGAAAAGCAGAGUAUACUUGUAGCCAGCGGAAUAACAGUUUAUCUAAAAAGAUGACCAAGAAGGCAAGAACUUAAGAGAUUGCAUAAUCCCCUAAUUUUAGAUAUAUAGUAAAUUCAGCUUCAUCUAAACUAACAUGAUGGGUGAAAAUUGUAAUUCAAGGAAGUAAAAUAAAUUAAUGGGGUUAGGUAGACGUUGGGCAAACAAUGGCUCCAGAUUCAAUGCACAAGAGCCAAAGACUGGACAAGAAGACCUGAACUAAAUCAUGCCCUCAAAGAAGAUCCAGCAUGCCAUACACCCUUGAGUAACUGAGGAAUAUGACUGCCAGUUUAGAUACAUGAUGGAAGUAACACACAAAUCAGAUAGAUAUGCAUGUGCAUUAAUCACCUCAUGUUGCUGACCCGCGAGAACUUCAUAAAGAAGAGGUAUGUACUCCUCAUAGUCUUCAGCAUCCAUGGGCUUGCACCUGAACCAAAACACACACACGCGCGUAAAACAGAG